UUCGAUUGCAUAUUCUGUUAUAGCAUUGA
rnacentral:sRNA from 1 species